UUGGCAGCAAUAACUUCAACCAAACGUUUCCUGUAGUUGCAGAUCAGACGUGCACAAUGGUCAGGAGUAAUUCUUGACCAUUCCUCUUUACAGAACUGUUUCAGUUCAGCAAUAUUCUUGGGAUGUCUGGUGUGAAUCGCUUUCUUGAGGUCAUGCCACAGCAUCUCAAUCGGGUUGAGGUCAGGAGUCUGACUGGGCCACUUCAGAAGGCGUAUUUUCUUCUGUUUAAGCCAUUCUGUUGUUGAUUUACUUUUAUGCUUUGG